rnacentral:misc_RNA from 1 species
GAUGAAGAACGUAGCGAAAUGCGAUAACUAAUGUGAAUUGCAGAAUUCCGUGAAUCAUCGAGUCUUUGAACGCACAUUGCGCCCCCUGGUAUUCCGGGGGGCAUGCCUGUCCGAGCGUCAUUGCAAUCCUCAAGCACGGCUUGUCUAAUGGGCGGUUCGUCUGCGGCCAUCCGCCGGAGACGCCCCCGAAAUGCAGUGGGGAUGUUCGCUAAAUCGCAGCGUCAGGAAUGGAAAUAAACAAUGCUGACGGCUCGAUGUCGAACGUCCACCUAAGGCGUGCCGCCCCCCCGGGGUGUGCCGCCCAACCUCUCUCGGUUGACCUCGGAUCAGGUAGGGAUACCCGCUGAACUUAAGCAUAUCAAUAAGCGGAGGA